UGGCUCUGGUAGCCUGCUCGGGGACUAUCAGCGUGGACAAACAUCGCCUGUUCAGGCAGUCGUGCCCAGAGGAGGACACAGGAGAUUGAAAUGGGAUAAGGCGAUGG